UACGUAGGGGGCAAGCGUUGUCCGGAAUUAUUGGGCGUAAAGCGCGUGUAGGCGGCUCGGUAAGUCUGCUGUGAAAGUCCAGGGCUCAACCCUGGAAUGCCGGUGGAUACUGUCGAGCUCGAGUCCGGAAGAGGCGAGUGGAAUUCCUGGUGUAGCGGUGAAAUGCGCAGAUAUCAGGAGGAACACCAAUGGCGAAGGCAGCUCGCUGGGACGGUACUGACGCUGAGGGCACGAAAGCGUGGGGAGCAAACAGG
rnacentral:rRNA from 1 species